CAAGUCUUCCUCUUCAUCUCUGGAACGGAUGCCAUCUCUCACAGUGAAUAGACUCCUGAAUGAACCUGAGAAAUGAUAUGCAUGAGGAGAUUAGCUUUUUUUUUCUUUUUCAUUUUUUCUCUUUUUUUUGCAUUAUUUUUUUUUUGAAAAUAAAUAUGCUAUGAUGCAAAUGAUGCAAACACGACUGGUUGGCUGUGUAUCACGGAGCACCGGUUCAAAGCUUCAGUUUGAAUUCGGAACCACAAAUCAUCUGAGACCCAAAGUCAUCUGAGAUCCAAUCUGUAGAACCAAGUCACCAACAGGACCCAAGAG
rnacentral:lncRNA from 1 species